UACGUAGGUGGCGAGCGUUGUCCGGAUUUAUUGGGCGUAAAGAGCUCGUAGGCGGUUUGUUGCGUCGGCUGUGAAAUCCCGAGGCUCAACCUCGGGUCUGCAGUCGAUACGAGCAAACUAGAGUGUUGCAGGGGAGACUGGAAUUCCUGGUGUAGCGGUGAAAUGCGCAGAUAUCAGGAGGAACACCAGUGGCGAAGGCGGUGCUCUGGGCUGGAACUGACACUGAGGAGCGAAAGCGUGGGUAGCAAACAGG
rnacentral:rRNA from 1 species